GGAUGAGGUCUAGGUCCUCGUCGUCGGGGAUCUCAUCUAACCGAUAGCCAUCCUUCAGCAGCUGGAUGUUCAAAUCUUGGUUGAUCUGCUGUAGGCAAAGGGGAGGGAGGUCAGGCCCGAGCGGCAGGGAGGCACCACCCACGGCUCUGCAGCCACUCCAGGCCGUCUGUGCCCUGGUCCAGCCGGUGCCUUGGAUAUCGGCCCCGCUCUGUCCCGCAUCUGUCCAUACCCCCAGGCCCCGCUCCUGCCUAGGCGCCCUCCUCCACCUCUGGCCUCUCUUUCUAGUCAUCCCUCCCCAUUCUAAGGUCAACUUCACACCUCUGGUCCUGUCCCUAUCUCAGGCUGGCUACUAGAGGAUAUCACCUGUAUUUUACACCUGUUCUAUUUAAAUGGCCUGCUGCAAUCUAAAGCCCCACUCCUAACCCUAGGCUCCCUGCACUUGAGGCCAGUAACCACUUCUUUUCCAUCCUAUCCCAGGCCCACCCUGUGCAGGGCACCGCCCAGCCCUGCCCAGCCCUCUUUUUCAUUGUACUUGGGCGUUGGCCCCAGCCCUCCCCCUGAUGGCGAUGAUCCUGCCCAGUGGUGUCUAGGGUGAGAAGGGGUAGGGGCUCACCUCAGCAGAGGAGUAGCCGGAGGAGGAGUAUCUAGACAUAUCAAAGUCAUCAUCGCUGGCCAUGGAGGAAAGAGAGGGAAAGUGAUACCAAGAAAUUAAAUAGAAAACUCUCCACAAUCCCACCUCCCAUUAGUCAGCAUCCCACACCUCCCUCAUAGUUCCAAAUAGCAAAAUCUCAAUACAAACUGUGCUUGCUGUGCAAAUGCAGGAAUUUAAAGACAAGUUCCCUAGCCCCACCCUUAAAAUCAAUUGCUAUCCUUAACCUCCUUCUAAAUAUAGCAGUUACUCCUUUCACCCCCUUCCUUCUCAUCUUUUGUUUUUCUAGACUCAAAUCACCCUGACUUGUAGGGUGUUCCCAAAGCCCAAGUGUAGCCAGGUGUUUUCCAGGGAGUAGGGCUCCUCCCUGAGGGGAUGGGGCAUUAAGCAUCAUAUUCUGCUGUCCAGAGACAUCACAGGCCAGUUAGGGACAACCGUUGGAUCAGUUGUCCCAGGAUGACAGCAGACAGCGCAGGCCCCCCUUUCCUCUCUCUGCCACCUCUCUUCAACCCCUAGUCCCUGGUGUAAAAAAAUUCCCAUCCCUGGAGAAUUCACCCUUGGAGAGAUUCUGGCUGAAGAAUACCCCAAUUCUGACAUUAGAGCAGGUAUGGCUUGUAUAGCCCACUUGUGCUACACAGGUUCCUUUGGGCUGCCCAGCUGCCCCCAAACCCCUAUACACACCUGUCCGUGUCAAGGGCUACCAGUGGCUUCUCAUCGGGGCUCUGGUCAAGCGAGGAGUAGCCUUUAUUGGGGACAACCAGCCUGGGUGAAGAAUUUUGGGAGUUAGAGUGGCAAGUGGAGCAUAGAAACCUGGCAAGGGACUGGGUUAGGUCCCGCCCCACCACUUCCUUCCUUCCCUCCCUCCCCACUUUGGAUCCUGUUAAGGCUGUCUCCUCUCAGAGAGGAGCUGGGCCUGAGGAGCAGGGGAAAAGAGGGAGGCUCAGGACCAGCAGAAAUAGAUCCUGGCUGGCAGGGUCCAGGUUGGAUAGGGAGGGCCUCUACCUUGUUCGGGCCAUGACAUUGUUCUUCUUGGGUUGCUGGUUGACAGGGCUACCCAUGCUGCCAUUCUUCAGGGAGCCCUUCCGGGCCAGUUCCCGCUGCUUCUCUGCAGGAGAACAUGGGAAGGAAGCUGUGUCCUGCCCCUGAGGCCACCCUGCCUUACUACUCAGGGCAGCCUGGGCUGGGCCUCCACUGUGAAACCACUUGCUCUUAGAAGGACUGAGGCAGGGAUCCCAACUCCAGGCCCCUGCUGCUUUGUGGAGCUAGUACCUGGCCCUGCACAACCUGAGGCAGACAGUAGGGGGCAAAAAGAGGAGGCUGUCCCCUGUUUUCCAGGAACUACAACUCCCAUGUUAGGGUAGUUAGUGUGUACUUGCUGCCAGGGAAAGGCUGGAGGGGGAGAGACAAUCACAGAAGGCUGGCACAGUCAGAGAGGGCUUCCUUUAGGUGACACCAUGACUUGGAGAGAGGUGGGCAUUCUAGGAAGGAGGGACAGUGCAUGCAAAAAUGCAUUUAAAAGUGAGCAUAAGUGUGGCUCUGGAUAGAGGGGUGAAGAGAGAGGUCAGGUUAGAGAAGUAAAAUUCAUUUACUCAGGCACUUAUUCAUUCAACAAAUAUCCACAUCACUAAUUAUAUGUCAGGUCCUGUGCUAAGGGGCUGAAGACUCUCUCUGGUUACAAACUCAGAACAUGAAGGACUUGAAUGCCAGACAGAGGAGUUUGGGAUUAACACAGAAGGAAAAAGAAGCCACUGAAGAUUGUGAUGUGGGAGGGGCAGGAUGGGGCUGCAAGGUAAGGGGCAGGAGGCUGGGGGAGCCCAUUUGGCUACGCUGCCUGAGUGGUGCUCCUGACUCCUUUGCCAAGGUCUGAGUUCUCCAAGGUUCCAAAACCUACCAGGUUCAUGGAGCUGGCCAUCAGGUGACCCACUCCACUGCCUGGUAUGAGACAACUGUUCCCAGAAGUAGCUGCCUGGGUCUUGGAGGAAUCCCAUCUCCCUUCCCUACUCAUCUCAAUUAAAGCCCAGAUCUAGGAAAAGGAACUGUUAGGUAGAGAGGGACACUAGGGAAAAUGACUCAUAAAAUAACCAAAUGCUCCAGAGGGUAAGGAUGGGGAGGACCUUUACAGCUACCGUGACUCACUUUGAAACUUCCCCUGACCUCAUGUCUCUGAAUCUCUGUCUCCUACUCUUUGACCCUCUUUCUUUGCCACUGCUCAUCUGAUUCCAGUUUUUUCCCAGCUUCUUUCCAGCAGGUGGCAGCUGCCAUUACCACUCUAGGCCUCUAGGGGGUGCAAUUUGCCUUAAAGUUUCUGGCGGAACUUGGUGCAACUGGGACAAUGCUGUGAAUUUUCAUGAGGAGCUUUGAUGAAAACACAGCUCGAGGGGCUCCCUGGAUGUGGUCUGGAAGGAGAGAAGCAAGCAAGAAGACGAUGGGGAGCCAAUGAAGCCUUAAGAAGGGAGUAACAUGUUCAGAUUCGAGAUGGAAAAGGACCCUCCGACAGCCAUGUGCAAGACGAGUGGGAAGGGAGUGAGACUGGAGGCUAUGACAAAAAGCAGCAAAGAUCCUUGACUUCUAGUCCUCGAGGCAGGGGGCCAAAGCCAACAUGGACCUACCAGGAGUGGCCUGAGAAUCCAGAACACAGAGAGAAGCAGCCUGCAUUGCGAUUUUCCCAGAACCCACAACACUUGUUCUACUAACAGUGAACAUCCAGAGAGAGACUCAACCAUGGAACCUAUACUCUGAUAUGUGGUGAUCAUUCUUUCUUACCUUUUUAUUUUUUGAAAUAGGGUCUCACUCUGUCACUCAGGCUGGAGUGCAAUGGCACGAUC